rnacentral:rRNA from 1 species
UAACGUUCGGAAACGGACGCUAAUACCGCAUACGUCCUACGGGAGAAAGCAGGGGACCUUCGGGCCUUGCGCUAUCAGAUGAGCCUAGGUCGGAUUAGCUAGUUGGUGGGGUAAUGGCUCACCAAGGCGACGAUCCGUAACUGGUCUGAGAGGAUGAUCAGUCACACUGGAACUGAGACACGGUCCAGACUCCUACGGGAGGCAGCAGUGGGGAAUAUUGGACAAUGGGCGAAAGCCUGAUCCAGCCAUGCCGCGUGUGUGAAGAAGGUCUUCGGAUUGUAAAGCACUUUAAGUUGGGAGGAAGGGCAGUAAAUUAAUACUUUGCUGUUUUGACGUUACCGACAGAAUAAGCACCGGCUAACUCUGUGCCAGCAGCCGCGGUAAUACAGAGGGUGCAAGCGUUAAUCGGAAUUACUGGGCGUAAAGCGCGCGUAGGUGGUUCGUUAAGUUGGAUGUGAAAUCCCCGGGCUCAACCUGGGAACUGCAUUCAAAACUGACNAGCUANAGUAUGGUAGAGGGUGGUGGAAUUUCCUGUGUAGCGGUGAAAUG